CCCUUAAGAUGAGAUAUCCCAGACGAAAGUCAUAAGACCCCUUGAAGACGACGAGGUAGAUAGGGCAGAGGUGGAAGCACCGAGAGGUGUGGAGCUGACUGUUACUAAUCGGUCGAAGGCUUGACCAA
rnacentral:rRNA from 1 species